AACAGCUCAAAUUUGAAAUCUGGCCUCUAGUAGGGCCUGAGUUGUACUUUGUAGAGGGUGCUUUGGCCAAGGCAGCAAUCUAAGUUCCUUGGAACAGGAUGUCAUAGAGGGUGAGAAUCCCGUAUGGGAUUGCCUGCCUUGACUGUGUAAAGCCCCUUCAAUGAGUCGAGUUGUUUGGGAAUGCAGCUCUAAAUGGGAGGUAAAUUUCUUCUAAAGCUAAAUACUAGCCAGAGACCGAUAGCGCACAAGUAGAGUGAUCGAAAGAUGAAAAGCACUUUGGAAAGAGAGUCAAAUAGCACGUGAAAUUGUUGAAAGGGAAGCGCUUGCAGCUAGACUUGCCUAUUGAUGUCCUCUUCUAUGGGCAGGCCAGCAUCAGUUUAGGCGGCUGGAAAAGGGUCUCUGUCAUGUACCAUCCUUCAACCAGAUGGCCUUAUAGGGGAGGUGUAGUACAACCAGCCUAGACUGAGGUCCGCGCAUCUGCUAGGAUGCUGGCGUAAUAGCUGUUAGUGGCCCGUCUUGAAACACGGACCAAGGAGUCUAACAUCUAUGCAAGUGUUUGGGUGUUAAGCCCAAGCGCGUAAUAAAAGUGAAUGGAGGUGGGAGCCUUUCAGAAGGUGCACCAUCGACCAAUCCUGAAGUGCUCUGAUGGAUUUGAGUAUGAGCAUAGCUGUUGGGACCCGAAAGAUGGUGAACUAUGCUUGAAUAGGGUGAAGCCAGAGGAAACUCUGGUGGAGGCUCGCAGCGGUUCUGACGUGCAAAUCGAUCGUCAAAUUUGGGCAUAGGGGCGAAAGACUAAUCGAACUAUCUAGUAGCUGGUUCCUGCCGAAGUUUCCCUCAGGAUAAGGGCG
rnacentral:rRNA from 1 species